UACGAAGGGGGCUAGCGUUGUUCGGAAUUACUGGGCGUAAAGCGCACGUAGGCGGAUAUUUAAGUCAGGGGUGAAAUCCUGGAGCUCAACUCCAGAACUGCCUUUGAUACUGAGGAUCUUGAGUUCGGGAGAGGUGAGUGGAACUGCGAGUGUAGAGGUGAAAUUCGUAGAUAUUCGCAAAAACACCAGUGGCGAAGGCGGCUCACUGGCCCGAUACUGACGCUGAGGCACGAAAGCGUGGGGAGCAAACAGG
rnacentral:rRNA from 1 species